GACAAUUUAAACACUGAAGUUUUCCUCAUAAUAUAAAACGUUCUUGGAAGCAAUUACCAAUUUCAUUGAACAUAUCUCAGCGAAUAAGAAGCUAUGCUCAUGGACUCAAUCUAAAAUCAAAUAUAUGAAAAGGACUUCUUUGAAUGAUCUGAACAAAUACAAAAACAGGUUAACUGCAAGCAACUGAAAGCUGACUUUGAAGCUGACUUAGAAAUGUUUCUUUGUAUGACAACACAUAUACCCAGGAGUCAAUUCUACACCUUCAAAUAUGUGAAGGGCAGUUUUAAACCUGAUCUUGCAACCUUUCUCAGAGAGAGGACAAGAGUGCAAGAGGAAGA